AUCAAAGACUUUGACUCUGCUGUCAGUGUCCCGUCAGGAUCAAGAAACCAAAGGCAUUGGAGCCAAAGCCAAUCUCUAACAUCUGCUCAGCAUCACCAAGCAGAAGAGUAGAGGAAACCCCCUACGAGUGCACAGAGCAGACAUGCCUGACACCCGUCUCCCCGCCUCACCAUGUGAUGCCGGGACGCCGAGGGACGAGGCAGGGAAGACCCAGAAGCGUCACCACGGAAACGAGGUUCUCCCACGCUGUAGCCUGUGUCAGUGCUUCACUCCUUUUGUGGCUGAGUAACAUACAGUUGUAUGGGGCACCGUUCAUCACAGAGGGAUGCCGGCUGCUGUGCAUCUGCUGCCACAAACACUCAGGUUAAAGCUUUGGUGUGAAGCCCAGCUUGUAUCACUAAACAAACUCAUUUGAGAAAACAAUUGACUUUGAACUCAGCAAGCCUCCAGCUGCUUCAGACCAAUUUGGGCACGUGGAUCCCAGGUUCCUGGGGAGACCCCGCCGGGGGACCCAGUACUGACGCCCUCGACGCCCACAGCUUCAUCAUAUACAACGGUCAAAAUUAGCAAAAAGACAACCUGCAGACUGGGGGGAAAUAUUUGCAAAUAGCCAACCAAGGAUCAUAUCUGGAAUAUGUAAAGAAUACUCAGAAUUCAACAGUGAAAAACUAAUAAUCCAGUUACAAAAUGGGCCAAAGAUGUGAAGAGACAUUUCAGCAAGGAGGACACGUGGGUGGGAAACAAGCCCCGGCGGGGAUGCUGGACGUCACACAUUGUCAGGGAGACGCAAACAGAGCACCCAACGGACUCUCACCGCACCCACCAGAGGGGCUGCGUCGGGAGCAAUGACAACACCAAGUGCCGGUGAGGAUGUGGAAAAGCUGGACCAUCGCCCACUGCUGGGGGCGGGGCGGCGGGGGGGAUGGAAAAUGAGCAGCCACCUGGAGAAACCGCCAGGCUGUCUUACAGCCCAGCAACCGGCCUCCUGGGCUUAUCCCAGAGCAAUGGAGACCCAUCCACACUUACCUGGACACACACCUUGACCUGCAAUAGCCAAGCCAGGAAAGACCAAAAUCUCCUGCAACAGGUGAAAGGCUAAACAGACGUACAGACCAAACACAGCCAAACCGUGGACUAGACUUGGCCGUAGGAAGCACCAGCAACCAGGCAGCACAUGGACGGAUCGCCCGGGCCCCAGCCCGAGGGAAGGAAGCCGGUCCCAGGUCACACGCAGUACAUUGCCAUUCAUAGGACGUUCUUGACAUGACAAACUACAGAGAACAGACUUGUGGCUGCAGGGGUGAGCAAUACUGCGGGCGAGGUGACGGUAAAGGGCCACAGGAGGAAGCCUCUGUGACGGCACAGACCUGCACCUGCGGGUCCAGGGUCCACGCACGUGAUGGA